GUAGAAAUAAUUCAACGGUUAGAAUUUUGAUUUGUGGUGUCAAGCGUGAAGGUUCGAAUCCUUCUUUUUACC
rnacentral:tRNA from 1 species